AUUGAACGCUGGCGGCAGGCCUAACACAUGCAAGUCGAACGAGUGGCGGACGGGUGAGUAAUGUUUGGGACUCCAGCUUAUGGAUGGGGAUACCUACGGGAAACUGUAGCUAAUACCGCGUACCAUAGGAUGAGCCCAAGUGGGAUUAGGUAGUUGGUGAGGUAAAGGCUCCCCAAGGCGACGAUCUCUAGCUGGUCUGAGAGGAUGACCAGCCACACUGGAACUGAGACACGGCCCAGACUCCUACGGGAGGCAGCAGUGGGGAAUAUUGCGCAAUGGGGGAAAGCUGACGCAGCCAUGCCGCGUGAAUGAAGAAGGCCUGCGGGUUGUAAAGUUCUUUCGGUAGCGAGGCGUUAACUACAGAAGAAGCACCGGCUAACUCCGUGCCAGCAGCCGCGGUAAUUC
rnacentral:rRNA from 1 species